rnacentral:lncRNA from 1 species
UCUUUGAUCAACUAUCUGGAAUGGGAGUUAAUUUUGAUGAUGAGAUACAAGGACUUUGACUUCUUAAUACUCUGCUAGACUAUUGGGAAACUCUUCAUGUUUCUUUGACAGAUUCAGCUCCUAGAGGUAAGAUGACCAUGUAAUAUUCCAAGUGUGGUGUGUUGAAUGAGGAAGUAAGGAGAAAAUCUCAGGGAUCGUCCUCACAAGCAGAUAUCUUGGUUACGGAAGAUCGGGGGAGAGAUAGAACAAGAGGCUCUAGAUAUAGAGGUAAAUGUAGAAGUAAGUCAAGGCCCAAAUAAUAUAAUAUUAUAUGCAACCACUGUGGCAAGAAUGGAGACAUCAAAAGAUUUUUCC